UGAAAAUUGAAAUGGUCAUACAAUGCCAAAAAUUCCAAAUCUGGUCUGCUUUGGCAAACAUUGCCAUCAUUGCGGUAAAUGGAUGGAGCGAAGAGCUUUGAGGAAAGAUUGAAUGGUUGGUCUUCAAACUCUAGAAACCAGA